AGGGCAACUCACUGGGUGGGGGUGUAAGGUUGGUCUCUUUAGCUGGCAGGAUUGGAGAAGGUCGUGUAUGUUGUCGGUGCUUAUUAAAACGAUGAUGCAUAAAAUCCCCCAAGUUGUCAGAAAGCAUGAGCACACGGAGUCGGUAUUCUCUCCCUCUUCCCUUUGUAAAAAAAAACUGUGGCUGUGGACGGGGCUUCGCAAAAUCUACCCAUGAUCAACACCUGCAUGCGCGGUAAUAGCGACAGACUUCAAAGCUUGCACAUCUGCAAUACGCAAGGGGGCAAUCCGUUCUCCCAGAAAGAUACCCAUGGCAUGUAUGCUACAGCUAUAGCACUACGUAAGAAGACCAGCACCUCAUUUUGAAGUAAAAAAAAAAUCCAAAAUACUUUAUCUAUGGGUUUAUAGUCGGUGUCAAGGAUCGAGUGUUUGAUUUUUUCUUUUUUGGAUACACGCGUAAAAGUGAAGCAUUACACAAUGCUGGAAAUACACACAGAGUGCUGGAGGAGGGAAGGGAAUUGCCAUCCAGCCUUAUCUCCAGUUCCAGUCAACUAGAGGCCCUGAAAGAGUUUGCACCAUCAUCAGAGCUGGCCAUUUGAUAGGAUUCUGGCACUGCACCUAAUCAAUCUGUGGCAUAGAGCCGCCAGAAGACCUGUAACAAAGCUCAAAGAGCCUCACAAAUGGCCUAGUGCAGGGGAUAAGCCCCUGCACAGGAUUACAUAUUGAUUCUGAAUGUAUAAAAAAAACAACCUUAUCAUACAAAACCCGAGACGGACUACAAAAGUAGGCAGUAGUCUGUGCAUGAAUCCCCCCUUUAAGAGAAGGAGCGUCAACUUUCAAAUACGGCGACCCCGAGCAUGAACCGAAAGCUCAAAUAAAUGCAGAGAGAAAUCAAAGGCCAGGGGUGAGGUGCGGUAGUAGUGCAUUGUUGCAGGGAAUCACUGUAACUCCACCUUGCUUUUUGAGGCGAAGGGUCAAAAUGGUGGCUACACAUAUUCAUCAAAGUGUAAACUUGCAUACUUGCUACGCCUCGGCCGCUACCUCCGGAGGUAGUGCACGACACUCGACAGACAGUUGCCCCCCUUGAAGCAGGGCAGUGUCAACAGUAUUGUCUCGUUGAGCCUACAGUAUGAAUGGUAUUAGCAGAGCAAUGUUUGUGAAACGGCUGAAAUGUAUAGACAUUUUCAUAAUAUUUUAGACCUGUUUUAUUGAUGUAACACCCUGUUACAUUCUGAAAUUGUUGCAGUAGCUGCCGGCUGCACUGAGUCAAGUAAAACUAUGGAAGCUCAUCCUCACCACCAAAAACAUGUAAAAUAUAGAUCAUUCAAAUAGGAUAUGUUUUUUUUGUUCAUUUGCAACAUUGUGUGAUGAUUUCAGAGGUGGCACCACAGGUCCCAGAGUGGUGGAGGUGGGGGGGGGGGAAUAGUUUCCCUGGGGCUCAGAGUUUUCCCUAAUCUGGUAGUAGGCUAACCUAACCAACUCCGGACCCUAGUUGUAGCAUAUUACAUUCUAAUAAAUCAACUGUAAAAAAACAUUUAAAAAAAUAAUAAUCCUGGACAAACUCCUUCCCACAACUGCGAUUGGCCAAAAA